AUUGAACGCUGGCGGCAGGCCUAACACAUGCAAGUCGAACGGUAACAGGAAACAGCUUGCUGUUUCGCUGACGAGUGGCGGACGGGUGAGGAAUGUCUGGGAAACUGCCUGAUGGAGGGGGAUAAAUACUGGAAACGGUAGCUAAUACCGCAUAACGUCGCAAGACCAAAGAGGGGGACCUUCGGGCCUCUUGCCAUCGGAUGUGCCCAGAUGGGAUUAGCUAGUAGGUGGGGUAACGGCUCACCUAGGCGACGAUCCCUAGCUGGUCUGAGAGGAUGACCCGCCACUCUGGAACUGAGACACGGUCCAGACUCCUACGGGAGGCAGCAGUGGGGAAUAUUGCACAAUGGGCGCAAGCCUGAUGCAGCCAUGCCGCGUGUAUGAAGAAGGCCUUCGUGUUGUAAAGUACUUUCAGCGGGGAGGAAGGGAGUAAAGUUAAUACCUUUACUCAUUGACGUUACCCGCAGAAGAAGCACCGGCUAACUCCGUG
rnacentral:rRNA from 1 species